UCUUUCUGCCGUGUGACUGGCGUUUCCUCCCUAAACUUGGGCCGCGACCUUCGGGGCGCGGCCCUUUCUUUUUGCGCG
rnacentral:sRNA from 1 species